rnacentral:rRNA from 2 species
AAUGCGUAGAGAUCUGGAGGAAUACCGGUGGCGAAGGCGGCCCCCUGGACAAAGACUGACGCUCAGGUGCGAAAGCGUGGGGAGCAAACAGGAUUAGAUACCCUGGUAGUCCACGCCGUAAACGAUGUCUACUUGGAGGUUGUGCCCUUGAGGCGUGGCUUCCGGAGCUAACGCGUUAAGUAGACCGCCUGGGGAGUACGGCCGCAAGGUUAAAACUCAAAUGAAUUGACGGGGGCCCGCACAAGCGGUGGAGCAUGUGGUUUAAUUCGAUGCAACGCGAAGAACCUUACCUGGUCUUGACAUCCACGGAAGUUUUCAGAGAUGAGAAUGUGCCUUCGGGAACCGUGAGACAGGUGCUGCAUGGCUGUCGUCAGCUCGUGUUGUGAAAUGUUGGGUUAAGUCCCGCAACGAGCGCAAC